UCGAGCAAAGAGGAAGAGGUAAUGGGUGGCUUAGGUCGGGACAAGAUCAGGUCGGCUGAGGCAUGGAGGUCAGCUUGAAGAGAAGAGCGAGCUCGGUACUGAAGGGAAAUUGGAAGACAGAGAUGGGAGCUAGUUCAGACAGGUAUAGGGCAGUCAAUUGCUUAGGUUGAAGCGCAGGACUGCAGCUGCUUGGACUUAGAAGAGACGAGUGAAUCAGGUCGGACAGAGGGAUGAAGAGGCGGCGGGAAGCGUCAGCCUUAGCUUGAGAGGCUUCGGUGGGUCCGAAUCUCUCUCUCUCUCUGAACGGACAGUUUGCAAAUAGGGUAAGGGCAAAAUCAUCGGGUGAAGGCUGAGGGUAGAGAUUGGUUGGAGAGGAAUGGGGAAGCCGGAGUUUAUCACACAAUAGGAUUGUGGCUUUCGGCUUGGGAUGACCGGAGAUGUGUGUAGAGUUUGCAAAUGAGAAAGGAGAGGUAGCCACCACCGUUUGGCCUGGGAGGAGUUUUAUUAUAUGGUUUUAAAUUCCCAUUUUUUAUAUUAUUUUCCCUGCAUAUGGGAUAGGGAGCAUCUAGGAGGGGAUUUGUGAUGUGAAUUUGGCAGCUGAGAAGAGAUUUUGAGCAGGAUUUGGGUGAGAUCUCAGCAUAGGAUGACAUGCAUCUCAUUUUGGAGGAAGGAGUAUUAGAUAAUACUGCUAUAGACUUGGGUAGUAAGGAAAUUGUGGAAGAAGGUCAUAUCUUCAAGGAUGGAGAUUUGCCUCAGGAGGUAAGGCAAGCGGGUCUACAUAAUGAUAAUAAGCAUUCUACAAACUCUCACCAUCAUAGUAAUGUCUUUACUGAUACAAAGGAUAUGGAUAUUAUGGCUAAAUGUUUUAUCAAAGAUGAUCAUGACACUAGUUCUACUAAGUUUCAAAAUAGGAAGAGUAGGAAAAACAAGAACAUCAUUUUACAAUAACCACGGACCACCCAUUUGCAAACUAGACACUAGCCACUUUCUUAUAUUUAAAUUUAUUAUUUGGAAUGAUAGGAGCAUUGGAUUCCCCUCCUUUAGGUUGAGGGUUAAUAAUUUACGCCAUAUUCAUAAUGUUUCUAUUCUUGUUUUACUUCAACCUCUCAUUACUUCUGCUUAAUUAUUCAGUACUGCUAUAUUGUUGGGUUUUAAGCAUUCUGUUGUGAAUUCUUCCUAUAAAAUAUGGGUGUUUUGGAAGGAUCCUAUUUGGAUAGAUAUUAUUGGAAAUUUUAUGCAAGUCUUGCACUGUAAUUUUAAAUUUUAAAAUUUGAAUUGUUGUCAUUCCUUUGUGUAUUCUGCUUCUUCUUGUAAUACUAGAAAAGUUUUAUGGGAGCAACUCACUAACUUCCAUAGUAUUUCUAACUUGCCCUAGCUUGUUGGUGGUGAUUUUAACACUAUUUCUAACCUCUCUGAGUGUAUUGGGGAUCUGCUCCUAUUUAUCAUUCUAUGGAGGACUUUAAUAGUAUGAUUCUAGAUUGUAACUUAGUGGAGAUUGGUUUCUUUGGUAAUAAAGUUACUUGAAACAGUGGUCGUUUAUGACAACGGUUGGAUCGUGUGUUGUUUAACGAUAGUUGGAUUAGCUCAUUUAAUUCUAUUUAUGGUGAACACCUUAAUAGAACUCUUUCUAAUAACUCGCAUAUUUUAAUUAGCCUUAAGACGAGGCAUAUGGGUCCUUCACCUCACUUUAGAUUUCAAAAUAAGUGGUUACUUCGUGAUUCUUUUCUGGACUUAUUUCAGGAAAGUUGACAUGCCCUUUUACAUCUUAAUGAUUCUAUAUUUGGCAUGAAUAUAUUAUGGUUUAAAUUGAAAAGACUUAAGUAAAAAAUCAAUUGGUGCAAUAGAAAUAUUUUUAAAAAUAUUUUCGCUAAUAUCUUGAAUGCUGAAGAUAAAGUGAACACUAUUAAGCUUAAUUGUCAAUUAUUUCAUUCUGAUGAUAAUUUUACUUUGCUUAGGGAUGCUAAAGAUUGCCUUUUUAAAUUACAAGCUCAGGAGAAAGCCUUUUGGAAAUAAAAAGUGACUACGAAGCACCUUGCUGAAGGUGACAAUAACAACAAAUAUUUUCAACAAAUUAUGAACCUUCCCCGAUUAUGAUAAACUAGCUAAUGCCAUUCUUAAUUCUAUUAUUCAACAAAUUAUGAACCUUCCCCUUAACACUAAUUCUACUUAUUUAUUAUUAUGCAAUUUGUCUAAAGAUGGGAAUUUCAGAUUAAAGGAAGCUUGGCAUGCCUUCAGAGCUAAGAAUGAUGUAACUAAUAUUUUUUCUAUGAUUUGGCAUAAAAAAUUCUUUUUGCUUUUGCUAUUUUCAUUUGGAGAAUUUUACAUAAGUUCAUCCCUAGUAAUGAUAACUUAAUUAAAAGAGGCUUUAUCUUACCGUCCAAGUGCCAAUGAUGCUUUCAUGUGGAGAACAUGCAUCAUGUCUUUCUUUCAGGCCCUUCAGCUGCUAAAACUUGAACAUAUUUUGAUGAUAUUUUUAAAAUAAAUUGCUUUAAUAUUAAGUUGUCUAUUAAUGCUUUACUUAACUCUUAGUUUAUUAAGUCUAAAAGUCAUAUUAGAAAUGUUGUUCCCUUUCUCAUUUUGUUGAAUUAUGGCUGAAUAGAAAUAAUUCCCUUUUAAUGGUAUUGGUAUGAACCAUCAUAGGAUUAUUAAGAAUAUGAAAGACAAGGUUUUGCGGCUUUUUUAAAUCAAUCUGCUCUCUGUCAAGAAUUUUAAGAAUUAUUUCUUUGUGGCAUUUGAAUUGGGUAUCAUGUUGGAGGGUGAUCAUCCUUCUACUAAACCUAGGAUUAUUUACUGGAUCAAACCUCCUAAUAAUUCCUAUAAGCUAAAUGUGGAUGGUACUAUCAAAGGUUCCAUUUUGGGAUGUGGUGGGAUUAUUAGGGAUGGUUUUGGGAAUAUCAUUAUGGCUUUUGCGGGCCUCUGACUUAAUUGUUCAGUGAAUUUUGCUGAGCUUUCAGCUAUUCUUCAUGGGAUUAUAUUAUGCAUAUAUCUCGACAUUUCUAACAUUUGGAUUGAAGUUGAUGCUACUUACAAUAUUCAUUGUUUAAAUAAUGUUGAUGAUCCUGUGUGCAACCCAGAUCUUUUUUAUCUUGCUAGGGACAUUAAUCAUAUGCUAAUUUUUGUUAAUUAAUCCCUCUCUCAUGUGUAUAGGGAGGGGAAUGCUUGUGCUGAUUGGCUUGCCAAUUUGGGGUGUAAUUUGGAUUAUUUUAUUGACUUCUCUGCCUCUAACAUACCAGUCCCCUUAAAAGGGCUUUUAAGAUUAGAUAAAAUUGGUCUUCCCUAUGUUAGAUUUUUUUUAGUUAUUUUUGGAUGGAGCUUGAGACUCCUUUUUAUUUUUGUUUGGGGGUUGCCUUCUCGUGCUGGAGGGUCUCCCCUGUUAACUGCAUCUCUUGGUUUUUCUGGUUCAGUUUUGAUGUCAGCAUUUCUUCCCUGUGCUGCUCGUCUAAUCCCACGAUGUUUGGUUUUAAUAUUAUUUUAUGUGGGCUGGUUUCCUGUAAGCUGUCAAUGGGUUUUUUUGGGAUUUUGUUGGAGGUUGUUCCUUGGAUCCAUUCUGGUAUAGUUUUUUCUAGUUUCAGUUGGUUUGGUUUUUGUGGUUGUGCUCUUCAUUUCCUGUGGGUUUUGGCUCAUCUGGUCUAUUGCUUUUCCCUGGGCAUGGUUCCUUUGUGCUUAGUUGGGAUUGGGAUUAGACUGGAGUGGCAUUUCGAUUGUGAUUUUGCUGGCAUUUAUGUCUCUAAUCUAUUUUAUUGGGUUGGCCAAUUUUCAUGUUACCUUGUUUGGCUAAGGACUCACUGUUGGUUUGUUUGGAACUGGUUUUAUGAAUUAGUAUGGGGUUUUAUUUUGCAGUUUUUCUUUUAAAGCUGUGGCUAUCCAUAUUAAGUUGGAUGUGAAAUGGUUAUAUAUCUGGAUUAUCUUGGUUUCCUUUAUCUAUGCCAUUGUGGAUUAUGGCCAAUGGUCUACUUCUGCUGGGUUUGCCAUUAGGUUCCAUGGCUGCUUACCUGAUAGUUAGGGGGUGCUUGUUCAUUUCCUUGUGAAUGAUGCUGCUAAGUGUUAUAAAGUUGUUUGUUGGAGGCUGAAUGUUUUGUUUUUUAUUUAUACUACUUGUUUUAUGGACAAUUGCUUGGACUAUCACCAUGCCAUUUUAUGAUUUUAUUUUUGCAAUUUCUAUCUUGGUUAUCACUUUUUUUUGCAGCAUCUCUUUAGUGCAGGUGUUCGUAGUGGUGGCAUUUUGGAAGGGAUUGUGGAGCUGGUUGAUUUUUUUUUUGUUCCCUUUUUUUUGGGCGCUCUUUUUUAUUCAUCAUAGAUUGUAUCUAGGUUAUAUUAUAUUUUUACGUAGUUAGGAACUUUAGCUCUUAGGAUUUUUUUUGCUUUCUUUUUGUAGCUCUUAGGAGUACUAAGCUUGUGGUCCCUUUAAGGACUAUUUAACAUCUUUCUUAAUUAAUACGUA